GCUUUCAAUCCAAAACAGAGUCUCACUCUCCCAAGUACUCAUUCCUUUCAAAUAUGUCAUGAAAAUACUCUGCUUUCAAGAUCUGUUUGAAAAGUGUUAAGUAUUCUCUCCUGGUGAAUACUAAUCGUGUUUCACUUUGAUUAUCCGUGAUCAGAAUAACCCAAGAUUUCAGUUUUGCAAAUUGGUUGGAGUCUGUUGGUGUCAUGACCAUGGUUUUACUCAUGCAAAGAAGAAUUUCAGGUAUAAUAUGUUUUUCCUCAGUUCAAUACCAAGAGGACAAAUCUACCGUGCACCAAAAGGAAGUUUAUAAUCAAAGUCACUAUAUGGUAUUGUAAAAUGCAUUAAUAUAUGUACUUAAUAUAUAUGUUUAUUUUUAAAUUAGGUUGAAAUUUAUUUUCUCUGUUUCUUAAAAGUUAUAGCGGUAUCCAAUUAUCUAAUGUAACCAAAAGUGCCAUUUGUAA
rnacentral:lncRNA from 1 species